rnacentral:rRNA from 1 species
GACGAACGCUGGCGGCGUGCCUAAUACAUGCAAGUCGAGCGGAACUGGGGGAGCUUGCUCCUUCCAGUUUAGCGGCGGACGGGUGAGUAACACGUGGGCAACCUGCCCUGCAGAUCGGGAUAACUCCGGGAAACCGGUGCUAAUACCGAAUAGUUUGGCGCCUCUCCUGAGGCGCCACGGAAAGACGGUUGCGGCUGUCACUGCAGGCUGGGCCCGCGGCGCAUUAGCUAGUUGGUGGGGUAACGGCCCACCAAGGCGACGAUGCGUAGCCGACCUGAGAGGGUGAUCGGACACACUGGGACUGAGACACGGCCCAGACUCCUACGGGAGGCAGCAGUAGGGAAUCUUCCGCAAUGGACGCAAGUCUGACGGAGCAACGCCGCGUGAGUGACGAAGGUUUUCGGAUCGUAAAACUCUGUUGUGAGGGAAGAACACGUACCAACUAACUAUUGGUACCUUGACGGUACCUCACCAGAAAGCCACGGCUAACGAAGGGCCAGCAGCCGCAGUAA